AAAGAAAACUCAUUUAUUGAUGAUUGAAGUUUAAUCAAAACAAAAGUCAUAGUAGCAAUGACUAUUAUACUAAAAACAACUAUGAGAAAAGUAACACACAAUAACUAAUAAGGAAAUUAAAAUGAAACAAAAAAAAUUGUAAACAAAUAUGCAAAUUAUAUAAACUAUAUAGAUGUAAGAUGUAACUUAAGUGGUAACCCAAGUAAACACGGCUUACUAUUUCAUACAUAAUAACAUUAUCGAAUCUCCAAAAAUUAUGAAAACCAACCAUAGAAGAACAAAUAGAUGCAAAAAAAAUGUAUCAUAAAUAAAUUAAAAAUAUGGAAAUGGUUGUAUUUUAAAGUUUUAAAAAUGUUCUGACAUAAUAGUAGUGCUUCAUGAUUUUAAUUAUAGAUUUAGUCUUAUCAAUCAAAAUUAUUUGGCCUAUGCUUUCUUCAUCAUUCGAUCAAGAAGAUCUUUAACUCUAACCCAACCAGUUGUUUAGAGUUCCUAUGCUUCAUGUUCUUCUCAGCUAUUGCAAUCUUGUUGCUGCAGCUCCACCGUUUUCUGAGUUCCAACCCCAAAACUCAACUUUUUUCAGUCAUUCUUGACCUCCUCAACACUAUAAAGACAUAAAAGAUGUGAUUCUUUUAAAAUGAGCUUGAAAUUUGAUUGAACACCUACAAGAACACAGAGGGAGGGUUGGAGAAAUGCUCAAUCUUGAAGAUGUUAGUGAAAAAAAACAAUGGCAAAGUAGCAUAGAUGGUGCUAGCAAUAUGCGAUUCACCAAUUUCAGUGUCGCUAACAGGCAUCUUUCCCACUCUGAAAAAGUCAUAGAACGCAACAAUUACUUCUUCAGGAUGUUCAGCACAAUACUGCAUAUGCCUCAUAAACUUAGGAAUAUACUUAAGGAAGUACUACAAUUAAAUGACUUAAUAGAAAAUUCUGCCUUCUGCCCUUACAUAAUAUUACAGUAAAUUUAAUUUUAAAUAACCUGAGUUCCUUGUUCAGGUUAUUUGGAUGAGUUGUUACAACGUUUUCAUCCCUAUAAUUUGACCCAAAAUCAUCUUAACACGCUCCAAAAGGACUAUUGCAAAUUGUCUUCCAACUGACUCAUCAACAACCACAUAGUAAGCUGUAAAUUGAAUGAUAGCAUUAGCAUAGGCAAGUCUAUUAAUCAGCAACUGUGCAAAAUUGAUAUAUAUGUAAUAGUGCAAGAGAGCAGGAACCUAUUCACAUGAAUGAGACUAAUCAGAACAACGUUUUCCUCAAAAGAGGAGCAGUUAUUUCAAUUUGAUGGCAAGAUCCAUACCAACGCUUUCAAAGAGGGGCUUAUCAGUAGAUCAUUGAUUACAUAAACAGCUAAGAAUACUUGAGCCAGAAAACAAAUACAGAUACUCAAAAUUAGGUGACCUAAGAAAUGCAAUACUGCGUAUUUGAGAACUCCUUCAAUUACGACAAAAAAGGAUAAGUAGGUAAGUUGUUACCAUCUUCAAAACUGUAAUGUAUUAAGAGAAAAGGGAGUAUUGGAGAAAAAUCAGUACCUUCCUACAACAACCUUUCAAGUUAAGUAAGCAUGAUCAAUUUUCUGUUGUAAUGCCUCCGACUUUCUAUUACCUAGUCGAUUUUUGUGGCAUAAUUAAACAAAACUUAUCUGCGUCUUCUUCAAUAUGUACAAUAAUAAAGUUUUCAUAUCUAUUACUAUAUGAUAAGUUCGAUUUUUGAGGCAUCAUUAAGGAACACUUAUCUGGUUCUUCUUCAACAUGUAAAAUAAUAAAGUUUUCGUAUCUAUUACUACAUAGUAAGUUCAACCGACAAACUAAGAGAAAGCAUCUACCUUCAAACUACAGCAAUAUACUUGUGACAAAUCAAACACACAGAGUAUGACUUUGAAAUCCAAUGACACAACCAACCAUUCACAAUGUAGAAAUGAUUCUCUGAGAAAAAUAAUUUAACAGACAAAAUAUAACCAACAACAUUGAUGAAUCAUAACAUCAAAGUCAAUAUUAUAAAGUACAACAACGCAUGCCUAUAGACAACAAUUUCUAACUUAGAUAGUAUAUAAUCCACACAAAGAGAAAAAUUCAAACAUAAAUACCUGAAUAAUAGAAUAACUGCGACGAUUAAGACGAUCUUUGUAAAGUUCAAACGUCUGGUUAAUGCAAAGAUAAGUGUUUUCCAUCGCAUUUUUUGAAUUGUGAUAUUGCUGGUGAACUCUUGCUGAUGAACUCUAAAAAUUUUUUUAAGAAGACGUUAGUAUUUGGAGAAUGUUGAGAGAGAUUUGCAUAAUUGAAGUAUUUUGCCCUAUAUAAG
rnacentral:lncRNA from 1 species